rnacentral:rRNA from 1 species
GACGAACGCUGGCGGCGCGCUUAACACAUGCAAGUCGACAUGAGCGGCGGACGGGUGAGUAACACGUGAGUAACCUGCCUUAGACAUUGGGAUAGCCUCGGGAAACCGGGAUUAAUACCAACUAGUCUAAGAUGGACUCGCGUCCCAUUAGCUAGUUGGUGAGGUAACGGCCCACCAAGGCGACGAUGGGUAGCCGGCCUGAGAGGGUGAACGGCCACAUUGGAACUGAGAAACGGUCCAAACUCCUACGGGAGGCAGCAGUGGGGAAGCUUCGGCAAUGGACGAAAGGCUGACCGGGCAACGCCGGGUGAGUGAAGAAGGUUUUCGGAUCGUAAAGCUCUGUUGUUAGGGAAGCGGUAUCUAACCAGAAAGCCACGGCUAACUACGUGCCAGCAGCCGCGGUAAUUC